rnacentral:rRNA from 1 species
CGUAGGUGGCGAGCGUUGUCCGGAAUUAUUGGGCGUAAAGGGCGUGUAGGUGGGAUGAUUAGUCUGUCGUAAAAGAGCGGGGCUCAACCCCGUUAAGCGAUGGAAACUGUCAUUCUUGAGUGCAGGAGAGGAAAGCGGAAUUCCCAGUGUAGCGGUGAAAUGCGUAGAUAUUGGGAGGAACACCAGUGGCGAAGGCGGCUUUCUGGACUGUGUCUGACACUGAGGCGCGAAAGCUAGGGAAGUGAACGGGAUUAGAUACCCCGGUAAUCCUAGCCGUAAACGAUGGGUACUAGGUGUAGAGGGUAUCGACCCCUUCUGUGCCGGAGUUAACGCAAUAAGUACCCCGCCUGGGGAGUACGGCCGCAAGGUUG